rnacentral:rRNA from 1 species
GAUGAACGCUGGCGGUAUGCUUAACACAUGCAAGUCGAACGGGGACCUUCGGGUCCUAGUGGCGGACGGGUGAGUAACGCGUGAGGACAUGCCUUUUAGAUUGGGGACAAACAGAUGGAAACGUCUGCUAAUACCGAAUAUGCCCUUUGGGGUGAAAGAUUUAUCGUCUAGAGAUUGGCUCGCGUCAGAUUAGCUAGUUGGAGUGGUAAUGGCGCACCAAGGCGACGAUCUGUACUUGGUCUGAGAGGAUGACCAGGCACACUGGAACUGAGACACGGUCCAGACUCCUACGGGAGGCAGCAGUGGGGGAAAGUUUCCGCAAUGGGCGCAAGCCUGACGGAGCAAGACCGCGUGAGGGAAGAAGGCUCUUGGGGUUGUAAACCUCUUUUUCUCUGGGAAGAACAAAAUGACGGUACCAGAGGAAUCAGCAUCGGCUAACUCCGUGCCAGCAGCCGCGGUAAU